rnacentral:lncRNA from 1 species
AAAUUUUCCAAACACAAUGGUGAUAAGCAAAUACUGCGAAGGUUAAUAGCAAAGCUCUGACAAGCUUAGCCUGUGCAGCACUGGCACAGCCUUAUGAAAACAAUUAUGCAAAAAUAAUAAUCCUGUUGCAACUUCAAAUCCAGGUGCAUAAAAAUAUUGAUUUUUUUUCUUUCAGUAGUGCUAAGUUGCCAGUGGAAACUGCCCAUGGGCCACAUGAGAGACCACGGAUCCUGUAAUGCUGGGAGGCAUAAAGCUGGCACAGAAGUGCUGCAGAGAGGCUGUCACCAGUUAGAGGGAAGGAGCCAGAGAAGCAAGAGGUGUGGCAACAGCCAAGGGUCUUCAAAGGUAGAUGGACUGUGCACCCCCUUCCUGAAUGGGAGACCAGCACAGAGACCUUGGGGGCACGCCCCGCCCAGUCCUGCCCAGCCUCGCCCAGGCUCCAGCCGGAGGCUCCACCCCAGGCCAUGGCCUUCCACUUGCUCACGUGACCACGCCACAGGCAUGCAGAGAGGCAGGCUGAGCUCUGCCAGGCCAGCAGGGUCCUUGCCAGGCCUGGUGGACUUCGAGGACAGGGAGCAGGUGAAGGCCUUUCUGGAGAACAUGGUGGAGUGCAAGUACCAGUGCUACUGUGAGAAGGACCCGGAUGAUUCAUGAAAAGCUCUACUACUAUGAGAAGUAGAACCCCGUGCCCAUCCUCCACAGCACAGCAGUCUUGGCUGAUGAUGUAAGUGUGCCUUUCGGAGCUCCCUGCCACCCGGCUCCUUUGGGCCCGGUCCUGAGCAGAGCUCUUCCUGGCGCAGACACAAGUGUGAGAUCCUGGGAGUGAAAACCAGAAGCCGCUGCAAAUGUUUCCAAAAGUCCUGUCACCGAGGACCUUAUGCGGAUACUGUGCUGAUUUGCAUUCACUCUCCUGCUCAAAAAAUUGUGCGUGGGGAUGUCCUCUGUUCUACCUGGGUAGCUACAGUAGCAGAAGUCUAAGGCUAGAACUCUCUGGGCAGAGAGAAACUGUCGGCUACUAGUGUUCUGAGAAAGGCACAGGCAGGAGGAAUGCUUUGGAGAAAUAAAGACAAAUGAGCUAGGUCUGUUGCUGACAGUGCUAAAAACUGACAGAUACGCUAGUGUCGGAACGAGGCCUGAUGAAAUACAUAAAAAGACAGGAUUGUUUUCAAAAUGAAGUAUAAAGCAUCGUAAUGAUUUAUGGAUAUUAGACCUUUCCAAAUUACCUUCAUAACCAAAGAAUAAAUGACAGAAGCAGUUAGCAUUGAUGGAGUAAUCUCCUGUAGCUAUCAUUUUAUUUUCAAUCUUGGAAUGAAUUACCUUGCUGUUCCUUGCCAUUCACUUUCAAACUCAGAUGAAUUGAAAGCACACCUGGAUAAACUGUAAAGGACACUGAGCCAGAGGAGAAAUAGGUCUCCUGUGAAGGUUGGUUUUUGUGAUCUCCUUGAGCUUAUCUGUGGCUUUCUAAAUGUUUUCCUUGUUUAUGAUUUAAAAAGAAAUGUAGUUCAGCUUAAAUAUCAGGGCCAUAUAAUUUUUAAAAAAUCAUCUUCAGAAGUUGAUUUUCUUUUUUUUUUCAAAGAGUAUUCCUCUUUUUUUUUUAAUUUUUAUUUAUUUAUGAUAGUCACAGAGAGAGAGAGAGAGAGAGGCAGAGACACAGGCAGAGGGAGAAGCAGGCUCCAUGCACCGGGAGCC